UGCAUUGUCGCUAUAUCUGCUAGAUUGUGAAGUAAUAUCUAGACAAAAUGAAUAGCAUCCUGUUCAUCACAGCUGUUAGUCUUUCAAUGUUUUCUCUACAUGAUGCUCAGGUUACAGUUUGUGAUGUAUGUUUUUGUUCGACGACUGAAAUAUCGUGUCGAAACAAAAGAUUAGAUGUGAUACCUCAAGGAAUUCCUAUAGACACAAUAUCUUUAGAUCUCAGUCUUAACAAAAUCUCCUCUCUAGAAAAUGGUUCUCUGGAUGGAUUGUCAUCCUUACAAACGUU